rnacentral:rRNA from 1 species
GAGCGCAACCCCUGUAUCAGUUGCCAUCGGGUAGAGCCGGGGACGUCUGAUAAGACUGCCUGCGCAAGCAGAGAGGAAGGAGGGGACGACGUCAAGUCAUCAUGGCCCUUACGCCCAGGGCGACACACGUGCUACAAUGGCGUAUACAACGGGAAGCGAAAUGGUGACAUGGAGCAAAUCUCACAAAGUACGUCUCAGUUCGGAUUGAAGUCUGCAACUCGACUUCAUGAAGUCGGAAUCGCUAGUAAUCGCGGAUCAGCAUGCCGCGGUGAAUACGUUCUCGGGCCUU